rnacentral:rRNA from 1 species
UACGGAGGGGGCUAGCGUUGUUCGGAAUUACUGGGCGUAAAGCGCACGUAGGCGGCUUUGUAAGUUAGAGGUGAAAGCCCGGGGCUCAACUCCGGAAUUGCCUUUAAGACUGCAUCGCUAGAAUUGUGGAGAGGUAAGUGGAAUUCCGAGUGUAGAGGUGAAAUUCGUAGAUAUUCGGAAGAACACCGGUGGCGAAGGCGGCCAACUGGACCAUUACUGACGCUGAGGUGCGAAAGCGUGGGGAGCAAACGGG